GCUUCUCCCGCCGUUCCAUCUAGAAGCAGACGACUAACUUAACCAAGUAGCUGCUAAGGAUCUGCGAACACGACUUUAUACCUAUCUUUUCGUCCUCCUUAAAUUCAUUUUCGAUUUGAUUGACUUCAAUAUUUUAUUGUUGGGUUUUUAUGAUUUCUUUUUAUUCUUGAUGUGAAACUACUAAGAUAAACAUUAUGAUCGAAUUUUCAGUUUUGAAUCGCUGUUUAAGUUAAAUAUUUAUUCUUGUUCAGAAUACGCUACGCUACGACACGCUACACAACUAACUAUAUGUAAGCAUUUUUAUAACACUUUUGAAGUUUAUAUCUAUUAGAAAAAUCAUUAUUUUCCAGUUUUAAAUGACUUGAUAUGAGCCUGAUAUUCUAUUUUCUGGGUAGAGUUUUAUUGUCGCAUUGAUUUUAUUAAAACAAAAGUGAGGGUUACUCUGAUAAAAAUGUAACAUUUUUGGGCUGAGAGAUAUGUCUGAUAUUUUGAAUUAGAAAACAAGCAACAACAUUCACCAUAUCUCAUUCCAUUUUGCAUUACUAUGUAUUUGCGUUUGCUCUUUUCAGGAAUUCUUUUUCAGCUUUCAUGUUCAACUAACCAGUAUAUUUCGUACACUUUGAUAAAUUCCAAAUCCAUUUUGUGCUUUGUUUUUUUUUCUUUUAGUAUGUUAAUUAGAAGAUUUUGAAAUCUUCAAAGUAUAUCAUCUAAUAAUUUACUUCAGUGUCUUGUGAAUCAGUAUGCAAAUUAGCCUUAUAGUACGUCAUCAUGUAAUGCAUUAGCCAUAUUUUGGAAUAUGAAUAAAAAGUCAAGGGGUGACGAAAACAAAAGUAUGAAAUAAUGAAGCUAUAGAUUAAUUAUUCUAAACAAAGACCUUUUAAAGUACUGUAAUACAUACAUAUCAGUGUUGAAUUGUAUAUUAGAAAUGCUUUUAUGACGUGGUCAGUUUUUAAUCGCGAAAAGACAAAUAAUUGAAUAAUUUUAUUUCAUAGAAUACACUAGUAUUUGUUAACAAAGAAAAAACUGUCUGUUCGGUGAUUAGCUAAGCAAGUUGAUCCAUUGUAAUGAAUUAUGAUCUUAGCAAUGUUUCGUUAAUUGCGUAUUCGUAUUCAUGUUUGCAUUUCAGUAGUUUUUUCUUUACAAUUUAUUCAUUUUUGUUUGAUUGUUCAGUAUAUACUUAUCGUCAUAAAUAAAAGAAAAAAAG
rnacentral:sRNA from 1 species